GGGCCGGAAAGUUAUCCAAACUCGAUCAUUUAGAGGAAGUAAAAGUCGUAACAAGGUCUCCGUUGGUGAACCAGCGGAGGGAUCAUU
rnacentral:rRNA from 1 species